UAUUAUUUUAGCGGCGGACGGGUGAGUAACGUGUGGGUAACUUGCCUUUUACUGUGGAAUAAUCGUUGGAAACGACGACUAAUACCGCAUACGGUUCUUGGAAGGCAUCUUCUAAGAAAGAAAGGAGUAAUUCGGUAAAAGAUGGGCCCGCAUCUGAUUAGCUAGUUGGUGAGAUAAUAGCCCACCAAGGCAACGAUCAGUAGCCGACCUGAGAGGGUGACCGGCCACAUUGGGACUGAGACACGGCCCAAACUCCUACGGAAGGCAGCAG
rnacentral:rRNA from 1 species